rnacentral:lncRNA from 1 species
CAGAAAAUAGAUCACAGACUUGAAUCAUCUAUCUCUGUAGUCACACAACCGUGUCAACCAUAAAACCAAUAGUUUAUGGUUGGCCGUAAAUCCAGAAAUAAACAUUUUAUAAGGCAGGUCAUCUUCCAAAGCGAGCCUCGCAUGGUUGCGAAGUGACUGGAUGUAAAAGGAUUUCCUCAGCUUUUAAACAAAUCACUGGAAUUACUGCACUGGGAAUAUAGUCCAAAGCUGAUUGGCUGACACGAUUUUAUUGUGAAGCUAUUCUUCGUUUUGAUUGGUUUAGAUGAAUGUCAAUUGUUCUGAGAUUUACGCCUCAUUCCGUGAUGUGACGUUGUCCAGGAACAUGGCUCUGUGGAGGAAAGGUGUUUCGUGAUAUUUAGUAGCGUAUGGUAGAUUUUUUUUUGUUUGUAAAUAUGUUAAUUUAAAAACGCUUUACCAGAAAACAUGGUAGGUUGCGAGAGGUGAUCGCUCUGGUUGUUUCCAUGGAGAACGGAACACUACAUGUCGUAGCGGUGUUUGCUGUCGUCAGCUGAAACUGUUAGCCUCAACAUGCUAGCUGUAGCUAGCUUUGCUGGCGAGUAGCAAGUCGCUAAAAAGACCGAAACUAUGCACGUUUGUAGCUUAGGCUGACAUAAAACUGCUUAAAGGCACUUUAUUGAACCUCACGUUAGCCAGUUAUCCGGCACAGUUUCAGUUAGUCAUCAUAUUUGUUGGGCAAAUCUGGAGGAUGGAGAGCCGUCUUGGAUCUGUGUUGCUGGCAAGUGGAAUUUUUUGGUCGGCGUUUUUGGUGACUGAAGCUAUCCCUCUUCAGUAUCCUCUGAAUUCAGAUGGAGACUCGGGGGGUGUCUGGUCUGCGUCUCCCCACCUGCCCUUGGUGGUGUCGCUGCUGGUGCUUUUGGCUGUGGUCGUGCUGCUCAUGAACUGCGUAACCUGCUGCAAAGAAAGAGAGAUCAACUUCAAGGUGAGAGAAACGCUGCCCAGGUUCAGGUAAAAGGUUAAUGCGACCCUGUGACCUCAGAGAGUGUAGUUUCUGUCAAAGAUAACCUUCCACACCACU